CGGCUCUGAUACCAAUUGAUG
rnacentral:miRNA from 3 species